AAAGGCCCUUCGGGGUACUCGAGUGGCGAACGGGUGAGUAACACGCUCNGUGAUCUGCCCUGCACUUUGGGAUAAGCCUGGGAAACUGGGUCUAAUACCGAAUAUGAUCAUGCUCUUCAUGGGGUGUGGUGGAAAGCUUUUGCGGUGUGGGAUGGGCCCGCGGCCUAUCAGCUUGUUGGUGGGGUAAUGGCCUACCAAGGCGACGACGGGUAGCCGGCCUGAGAGGGUGACCGGCCACACUGGGACUGAGAUACRGCCCARACUCCUACGGGAGGCANCAGUGGGGAAUAUUGCACAAUGGGCGCAAGCCUGAUGCAGCGACGCCGCGUGAGGGAUGACGGCCUUCGGGUUGUAAACCUCUUUCAGCACAGACGAAGCGCGAGUGACGGUAUGUGCAGAAGAAGGACCGGCCAACUACGUGCCAGCAGCCGCGGUAAUACGUAGGGUCCGAGCGUUGUCCGGAAUUACUGGGCGUAAANAGCUCGUAGGUGGUUUGUCGCGUUGUUCGUGAAAACUCACAGCUUAACUGUGGGCGUGCGGGCGAUACGGGCANACUUGAGUACUGCASGGGAGACUGGAAUUCCUGGUGUANCGGUGGAAUGCNCACAUAUCAGGAGGAACACCGGUGGCGAAGGCGGGUCUCUGGGCAGUAACUGACGCUGAKGAUCGAAAGCGUGGGGAGCGAACANGAUUAGAUACCCUGGUAGUCCACGCCGUAAACGGUGGGUACUAGGUGUGGG
rnacentral:rRNA from 1 species